GAAGAAAACAGCCGCAAGAAGAAAAUAGGAGGGAGCAACAGAAAGAAGAAGAGAGGUACGCAGCUCCCAUAUAAGAAAGAAAGGUUUUGUGAAUGCAAAUUCUGCAUGCUGCCAUGUGGCGGGGCGCUUCGGGGGUCUUAUUCCGUGCGGCCCUCCGUCCGAAGUUUGCAGGGAGAUAUCUAAGUACAUAUUAUGGGAUCCCUACCAUCCUUCUGAUGCUGCUAAUUUAAUCAUAGCAAGGCGUCUCUUGUAUGGGAACUCCAAUGACAUUUCGCCCAUCAAUGUUCUCCAACUUAUUCAGUCUUAAUUAAAUCUGUUGGCUAAAGUAAGAGAACAAAUCAAAUGAAUGAUGUUAAUUCUUCAGUAGUUAUUUAAUUAUUAUUUUUCUUCUUCUUCU